UUAAGGGGACAUGCAAUUAAUGGGAUGGAUAAGUGGCUGAUUUUCUUUCCUUCGUGGCUUCCCCAACACGCCGAACAGCUGCCCUCCAUCUUGGUCGCCGACCUCCGCACGUCUCUUUCCCUCGAACGCCAGCUACCCCGCUGAUCUUUUACUUCAGUUUGUUUCCUCAAAGCUGAGCGGCCACAAAAUCCUCUCCCCUGAACGACAGCCUCGGUCUUCCACCAGCCUGCUUUCAUUUUUCUCUCGCAACCCAUUCCCAGCAUCGACUUCAAUCUCUCCUCCACGCUGCCACUUGGCUGCGUCUGCCCAUUGCUCGGUCAACAAACGAGUAUUUGAAGACCACCGAGUGAAGUCUCCACCGUUUGCUGCAGCUCCUUUCCUCUCCGUAGGCCAGCGAAGCCCCACGCGGAUCCAGCAACUUCCACCGGUUUUGCCCCACCAUCUCUUGCUUUUUUUCGGUCAAUCUCCAGCCAGCGAAGCCCAAGCGGUUGACCGAAGCUGCUGCCCGUGUGUCGCCCAGCGAAACAAUUGAAACGAGCCGCAGCUGACCGCCCAUCUUCUUCACGGCUUUUGCUUCAGCAAAGGACGAGCUGCUUCAUCUUUUCUUCUGGACGAACAGCACGCUCAGUUCCCCUCCACAUCCGUGACUCACCACCGCCUCCAGCUCACGACUCCACCAGCGACUUCGCAGCAAGUUUCCUCCCAUCUUGUUGACCACCGAGCGAAGCUGCUUCUCCUCUUUGCUGCGCCAAUUGAAGCCAGCAAAGCCUGCAUCAGUCAGUUCGUCCAUUUCUCCUCUUGCGCGAGUCUUCGGUCAGCUGAAGUCCAUGCGCCCAGCCGCUGAGUCAACCGAAGUCGCACUCCAGCGAAGCCCGUAAUUUCCAGCAUCUUUAGCCCAGCAUCACCGAAACUGAAGCCUAGCUUCUUCGUGCCAGCAACCCAAGAAGCCGGCCCACCUUCAACAAAUCAGCCAGCCCAGCUCAGCCCAGCUAAAAUCUUUAGUGCAGUCCAGCUUUGAAGCCCGUGAAAAUAGGCCCACUUGAAGUGCAGCCCAUCUUCAGUUUUUGGCUCAACCUUCAGCAGCCCAAUUUUGCAGCCCAAGCCCGCGAAGCAAGUCAGCCCAAGCUCAGGCCCAAGUUCGGUCCAAGCCCAGAAAUUUUUGUGGACUUGCAAGGCUUGUAGGCCCAGCCCAAGUGUCCGUCGACGCCGCCGAAAGUUCGGGUUUCGGCCGCCGUUGCGUCGCCAUCGCGGUGAUCUGGUCCCCGCUUUUAAUCAAGACCCUGAUGAGGAGCCUGAGGAGAAAGAAACCGAAGAGGAGUACUUGGAGGAGAACCCCGAUGAUGAUCUGAGUAUGAAUCGGAUGAGAACUGAAAUCCCGUCAUCUUUUAGGAAUCCUGUCUAAAUGUGAAUGGUGUGAGACUAGAACGUUAUGAAUAGUCUUGUGAAUAGACUUCGAGUUAUGCCAUGUAUAAAAGUUUGGUUGUGGAUUUCAAUAUGAAAAAUAUGGCCUUAAUUUUCUA